CGAGGGGAGUGAAAAAGAACCUGAAACCGUGUACGUACAAGCAGUGGGAGCACAGGUUUACCUGUGUGACUGCGUACCUUUUGUAUAAUGGGUCAGCGACUUAUAUUCUGUAGCAAGGUUAACCGUAUAGGGGAGCCGUAGGGAAACCGAGUCUUAACCGGGCGUUAAGUUGCAGGGUAUAGACCCGAAACCCGGUGAUCUAGCCAUGGGCAGGUUGAAGGUUGGGUAACACUAACUGGAGGACCGAACCGACUAAUGUUGAAAAAUUAGCGGAUGACCUGUGGCUGGGGGUGAAAGGCCAAUCAAACCGGGAGAUAGCUGGUUCUCCCCGAAAGCUAUUUAGGUAGCGCCUCGUGAAUUCAUCUCCGGGGGUAGAGCACUGUUUCGGCUAGGGGGCCAUCCCGGCUUACCAACCCGAUGCAAACUGCGAAUACCGGAGAAUGUUAUCACGGGAGACACACGGCGGGUGCUAACGUCCGUCGUGAAGAGGGAAACAACCCAGACCGCCAGCUAAGGUCCCAAAGUCAUGGUUAAGUGGGAAACGAUGUGGGAAGGCCCAGACAGCCAGGAUGUUGGCUUAGAAGCAGCCAUCAUUUAAAGAAAGCGUAAUAGCUCACUGGUCGAGUCGGCCUGCGCGGAAGAUGUAACGGGGCUAAACCAUGCACCGAAGCUGCGGCAGCGAACGUAUCACCCAAGACAACUUUACGGAGUUGACGAUUGACGGAGCGAAGCGACGUCAAAGCGUUCAUUAAAGUCGAGUUGGCUUAGGGAUACGUUCGUUGGGUAGGGGAGCGUUCUGUAAGCCUGUGAAGGUGUGUCGUGAGGCAUGCUGGAGGUAUCAGAAGUGCGAAUGCUGACAUAAGUAACGAUAAAGCGGGUGAAAAGCCCGCUCGCCGGAAGACCAAGGGUUCCUGUCCAACGUUAAUCGGGGCAGGGUGAGUCGACCCCUAAGGCGAGGCCGAAAGGCGUAGUCGAUGGGAAACGGGUUAAUAUUCCCGUACUUGGUGUUACUGCGAAGGGGGGACGGAGAAGGCUAUGUUGGCCGGGCGACGGUUGUCCCGGUUUAAGCGUGUAGGUGUGUGUUCCAGGUAAAUCCGGUUCACUUUAACACUGAGGCGUGACGACGAGGCACUACGGUGCUGAAGCAACAAAUGCCCUGCUUCCAGGAAAAGCCUCUAAGCAUCAGGUAACACGAAAUCGUACCCCAAACCGACACAGGUGGUCAGGUAGAGAAUACCAAGGCGCUUGAGAGAACUCGGGUGAAGGAACUAGGCAAAAUGGUGCCGUAACUUCGGGAGAAGGCACGCUGACACGUAGGUGAAGUGAUUUACUCAUGGAGCUGAAGUCAGUCGAAGAUACCAGCUGGCUGCAACUGUUUAUUAAAAACACAGCACUGUGCAAACACGAAAGUGGACGUAUACGGUGUGACGCCUGCCCGGUGCCGGAAGGUUAAUUGAUGGGGUCAGCGCAAGCGAAGCUCCUGAUCGAAGCCCCGGUAAACGGCGGCCGUAACUAUAACGGUCCUAAGGUAGCGAAAUUCCUUGUCGGGUAAGUUCCGACCUGCACGAAUGGCGUAAUGAUGGCCAGGCUGUCUCCACCCGAGACUCAGUGAAAUUGAACUCGCUGUGAAGAUGCAGUGUACCCGCGGCAAGACGGAAAGACCCCGUGAACCUUUACUAUAGCUUGACACUGAACAUUGAGCCUUGAUGUGUAGGAUAGGUGGGAGGCUUUGAAGUGUGGACGCCAGUCUGCAUGGAGCCGACCUUGAAAUACCACCCUUUAAUGUUUGAUGUUCUAACGUGGACCCGUAAUCCGGGUUGCGGACAGUGUCUGGUGGGUAGUUUGACUGGGGCGGUCUCCUCCUAAAGAGUAACGGAGGAGCACGAAGGUUGGCUAAUCCUGGUCGGACAUCAGGAGGUUAGUGCAAUGGCAUAAGCCAGCUUGACUGCGAGCGUGACGGCGCGAGCAGGUGCGAAAGCAGGUCAUAGUGAUCCGGUGGUUCUGAAUGGAAGGGCCAUCGCUCAACGGAUAAAAGGUACUCCGGGGAUAACAGGCUGAUACCGCCCAAGAGUUCAUAUCGACGGCGGUGUUUGGCACCUCGAUGUCGGCUCAUCACAUCCUGGGGCUGAAGUAGGUCCCAAGGGUAUGGCUGUUCGCCAUUUAAAGUGGUACGCGAGCUGGGUUUAGAACGUCGUGAGACAGUUCGGUCCCUAUCUGCCGUGGGCGCUGGAGAACUGAGGGGGGCUGCUCCUAGUACGAGAGGACCGGAGUGGACGCAUCACUGGUGUUCGGGUUGUCAUGCCAAUGGCACUGCCCGGUAGCUAAAUGCGGAAGAGAUAAGUGCUGAAAGCAUCUAAGCACGAAACUUGCCCCGAGAUGAGUUCUCCCUGAGACUUAGAGUCUCCUGAAGGAACGUUGAAGACGACGACG
rnacentral:rRNA from 1 species